rnacentral:misc_RNA from 1 species
AAGUCGUAACAAGGUCUCCGUAGGUGAACCUGCGGAGGGAUCAUUAACACGUUUCCAUAACGUUUUAUUACUACCAACCAACCGCGUGAUGGAAUUGAAACAAUAUACAAUCGACCUGUUAGAUCGAGAAUCUGCUUGGAAUGCACGGAGUGAUGAGUAUGUUGUUUAUUCAUACAUUUAUUUGUGUGUUUUAAAUUUUCAUACGGUGUAUC